rnacentral:rRNA from 1 species
UACGUAGGGGGCAAGCGUUGUCCGGAAUUAUUGGGCGUAAAGAGCGUGUAGGCGGCCAGAUAAGUCCGCUGUGAAAAUCUCGAGGCUCAACUUCGAGCUGUCGGUGGAAACUAUCUGGCUAGAGUCCGGAAGAGGAGAAUGGAAUUCCUGGUGUAGCGGUGAAAUGCGCAGAUAUCAGGAAGAACACCCGUGGCGAAGGCGACUCUUUGGUCUGUAACUGACGCUGAGGCGCGAAAGCGUGGGGAGCAAACAGG